AAAGAACCUGAAACCGUGUACGUACAAGCAGUGGGAGCACAGGUUUACCUGUGUGACUGCGUACCUUUUGUAUAAUGGGUCAGCGACUUAUAUUCUGUAGCAAGGUUAACCGCAUAGGGGAGCCGGAGGGAAACCGAGUCUUAAUUGGGCGUUAAGUUGCAGGGUAUAGACCCGAAACCCGGUGAUCUAGCCAUGGGCAGGUUGAAGGUUGGGUAACACUAACUGGAGGACCGAACCGACUAAUGUUGAAAAAUUAGCGGAUGACCUGUGGCUGGGGGUGAAAGGCCAAUCAAACCGGGAGAUAGCUGGUUCUCCCCGAAAGCUAUUUAGGUAGCGCCUCGUGAAUUCAUCUCCGGGGGUAGAGCACUGUUUCGGCUAGGGGGCCAUCCCGGCUUACCAACCCGAUGCAAACUGCGAAUACCGGAGAAUGUUAUCACGGGAGACACACGGCGGGUGCUAACGUCCGUCGUGAAGAGGGAAACAACCCAGACCGCCAGCUAAGGUCCCAAAGUCAUGGUUAAGUGGGAAACGAUGUGGGAAGGCCCAGACAGCCAGGAUGUUGGCUUAGAAGCAGCCAUCAUUUAAAGAAAGCGUAAUAGCUCACUGGUCGAGUCGGCCUGCGCGGAAGAUGUAACGGGGCUAAACCAU
rnacentral:rRNA from 1 species